CCCGCUGCACUACAGCAUAUCAUUAAGCGGAGGAAAAGAAACUAACAAGGAUUCCCAUAGUAACUGCGAGUGAAGCGGGAAAAGCUCAAAUUUAAAAUCUGGUGGCCUCUGGACAUCCGAGUUGUAAUUUAGAGAAGCGUCUUCCGCGCUGGACCGUGCACAAGUCUCCUGGAAUGGAGCGUCGUAGAGGGUGAGAAUCCCGUCUUUGGCACGGACGCCCAGUGCUUCUGUGAUGCGCUCUCGAAGAGUCGAGUUGUUUGGGAAUGCAGCUCAAAAUGGGUGGUGAACUCCAUCUAAAGCUAAAUAUUGGCGAGAGACCGAUAGCGAACAAGUACCGUGAGGGAAAGAUGAAAAGCACUUUGGAAAGAGAGUGAAACAGUACGUGAAAUUGUUGAAAGGGAAACGCUUGAAGUCAGUCGCGUCCGCCUGGGCUCAGCUGGGCUUUGCUCAGUGCACUUCCAGGCGGAUGGGCCAGCAUCGAUUUCUUCCGCCGGAUAAAGGCUUGGGGAAGGUGGCACCCUCGGGUGUGUUAUAGCCCCUUGCUAAACGGUGGCGGGGAUCGAGGAAUGCAGCACGAACCGGGGUUCGCCCACGCCGCGUGCUUAGGAUGCUGGCGUAAUGGCUUUAAGCGACCCGUCUUGAAACACGG
rnacentral:rRNA from 1 species